UACGUAGGUGGCGAGCGUUGUCCGGAUUUACUGGGCGUAAAGGGAGCGUAGGCGGACUUUUAAGUGAGAUGUGAAAUACUCGGGCUCAACUUGAGUGCUGCAUUUCAAACUGGAAGUCUAGAGUGCAGGAGGGGAGAAUGGAAUUCCUAGUGUAGCGGUGAAAUGCGUAGAGAUUAGGAAGAACACCAGUGGCGAAGGCGAUUCUCUGGACUGUGACUGACGCUGAGGCUCGAAAGCGUGGGGAGCAAACAGG
rnacentral:rRNA from 1 species